AUUCAAUUAGUAUAUAUUUAAGUAUAUUAAGCUUCCAACUUAAAGGAUAAAAACUUAAUUGAAUA
rnacentral:tRNA from 1 species